CGCACAGAGCUCUGACUUCAACUCCAUCGAACACCUUUGCAAUAAAUUGGAGCGCCGACUGAGAGCCAGGCCUAAUCGCCCAACAUCAGUGCACAACCUCAGUAACGCUCUCGUGGCUGAAUGAAAGGAAGUCCCCACAGCAACAUUCUAACAUCUGCUGGAAAGCCUUCCCAGAAGAGUGGAGGCUGUUAUAGCAGCAAAGGAGGGACCAACUCCAUAUUAUUAAUACCCAUGAUGUUGGAAUGAUAUGUUUGCCAACCUACUUUUGGUAAUGUAGUGUAAUUCUGCAUUUCAGUGAAGUUAUGAUGCUAGCAAUAGCCUAAACAUAUUCCAAUUCACGUCAUGUCACAUGCUCUCUCUCUCUCUCUCUCUCUCUCUCUCUCUCUCUCUCUCUCUCUCUCUCUCUCUCUCUCUCUCUCUCUCUCCCUCUCUCUCUCUCUCUCUCUCUCUCUCUCUCUCUCUCGCUGUCUCUUUCCCCUCAACAAUGAAAUCUUCUGACAAAUCAAACUUGUAAACAACUAUCAACUAUCAAGCUGCUAAUUGGAGGAGUAAAUACAUGCGCUAAAUGUAAAAGCUAUGUAGAUUUCACAGGUUAAAAUAAUGAUGAAAACAAGCUAUAUACAACGUCUCUCUUUUUGGUUUGAACCGGUUCAGAACUUUAUUUUUCUGCUCAGAACACUGGAAUGGGAAAAAAAAUUGUGGUUCUGUUUGGAACAGAAUGAUUGUAAAAUCAUUUCCGUUCCAACCCUUGCUUACAAUGCAGUACUAUGCCUGUAUUUGAAUGCACUUACUGUAAAUCGCACUGGAUACGAGUGUCUGCUAUAUGACUAAGAUAUAAACGUAAACACAACAGUGAAUGCAGAAUUAUAACUCGGUGAUCAGAAAGGAUCACUAAAUCCUGUUGUGUACAUUAGUGCACACAAGCGCGGGUGUACCACUCCCAAGAUUAGAUACUGGAACAUUCUUGGAUUACACAUCACUUAAAGAAGGCUUUAUGAUAAACCCAGCUUAAUGUGGUCUACUGAUUACAGAAAGAAGUCAUAAGCAGCCAUAUGAACUUGCAGCAUGUCAGUAAAAACCGAAAGGUUAAGCCCUGUCACUGUAUAGAGUGGACUACACACUUUGAAAAAAAGGGUUAUUUUGGGUUCUAUAUAGAACCUCUUGAUUCUGUGUACGAGAUUAAAGAAGGUUCUAUAUAUAAACCCAUUGAAGGCAGAGAACCUUGAGGAUUCCAUCCCUACCGCAGAUUGUAGGCGAACGUGGAGUUUAGCCAACAGCAGCGAACAAAAACGAACAGUCAUGUCAAACGCUGAAAUGACAGCUAACGAUACAGUAGCUGCUUUGCUGUUUGUUUUAGCUGCUUUGCAUAGCAAUGUAUGUCCGUAUUAAUGAUGCUGCAUGGAUUCUCCUGGUCAGAAAAAUGGCUAGCUGUCUCCUCCGACACGUUCCCGCUCUCGUUUGUAUUUUGCAACAUUGUUGUCGAGGUUGGAGUUGCAAACAACAAGGUUCAUACAAACCUGUGCUGUUGUGAACCAAAUGCUGGAAAAAAGCAAGAGAUAAUAAUGUGUUUAAUGGAAGCAUACACUCUAAGAAUUGGUUAAUUGGGGUUCUCUAUAGAACCUUUUGGUCAAAUCAAAUGAAUGGCCCACCAACUGCCAUUCCAACAUGAAAACUCAAGAGGACGAUGGUCUCAAAUACCCUACCAAUUAGCACGUUAUUUUUCAAUUUAUUAAGGUAAGCAUUAUGUAAUUCAAGUACAUUAAGCCAUAUUCAUGUGACAAACUAUAGGCUAGUUCCCUCAAACUCAACUCUGGACCCCAAAGCUAGUUCUAUUGCAUUUGUUCAUUGUUCCCUUCAAAUCAGGGAAUGAUUUAGACCUGGAACACCAGGUGUGUGCAAUUAUCAGGUAGAAUAGAAAACCAGCAGGCUCAGGACCUCGUAGGGUAAGAGUUGAGUUCCACUGGGCUAGAUAGCUAUGAGUUUGUUUCAGAGUCUGACCACUGUUUGUAAGCUACCUAGCUAACGUUAGCUUGCUAGAAAGGGAAAAGCUUUAUUUAUUUAACUAGGCAAGUCAGUUAAGAACAAAUUCUUAUUUACAAUGACGGUCUACCACAGCCAAACCCGGACAACACUGGACCAAUUGUGCGCCACCCUAUGGGACUCCCAAUAAUGGCCGGUUGUGAUACAGCCUGGAAUUUAUCCAGGGUCUGUAGUGACGCCUCUAGCAUGAAGAUGCAGUGCCUUAGACCGCUGCACCACUCGGAAGCCCAAGGUUAGGUAGGCUAAGGUUACUUUUAAUAAGCAUCUUGGCAAGCUAGCUAAGUCUUACAAAUAAACCUACAUGCCAAAUAGAGAUAAAUACCCAACCUGACAUUGGCAAUUAGCUAAUUGUUACUUUUAUUUCAGUAUUUUAUUUGUAGUCACAAUCAAAUGUAUUUAUAAAGCCCUUUUUACAUCAGCCGAUGUCACAAAGUGCUAUACAGAAACCCAGCCCAAAACCCCAAACAGCAAGCAAUGCAAAUGUAGAAGCACUGUGGCUCUGAAAAACUCCCUAGAAUGGUAGGAUCCAAGGAAGAAACCUAGAGAGGAACCAGGCUCUGAGGGGUGGCCAUCGAACCAACUUGACACGAUUGUGGGAAGAAUCUGGAGUCAUCAUGGGCCAGCAUCCCUGUGGAACAUUUGACCACUUGUAGAGCCCAUUCACCCAAACACUGAGGCUGUUCUGAGGGCAAAAGGGGAGGGGGGAGUGCAACUCAAUAUUAGUAAGGUAUUCCUACUGUUUGGUUUAGCAUAUGUUUUACUCAUUGUAAGUAAGAAUUGGUUCUUAACUAACUUGUCUAGUGAAAUAAAGGUUAAAUAAAUAAAAGAUCAAAUGCUCCAGCAGCAACCCGCUGAGGAGCUGCAGGAGAAAUCCAUCUCAAAAUCGUCUCUGUAUGCUGUGCACGUGUGAUAGCUGUGUUGGAUACCUAAGAUACAUGAUGACUUGUGAAAAUACACACAGGACAAUUUAAUUCCCCUAGAUGGUGUACAUUAACCCGUGAGAGGACUAUGUUUCAUGGAGGCAGACUGGACUGAAUGUUGCUGACCUCUGUUGAAUGCGCGUGAUGGGCAGUGGACUAAGAGGAUGUAUGUACUGCAUCUACAUGAUUUAUAAGUCUUGGUGAUUCAAUAGUUAAUCAUUUACAUGACUUUUAAAAUACUACCUCUGUGUUUUGCUCAGAGUCUGGCAGGAACCCAACUAUCAGAGGCAGAGGAUGUGCUCUUUCGGGCUGCUGCUGCUGCUGCUGAUGACAACAGCAAGCAGCCAGGCAACAACCCAUACUGUACUGUUCCAUAGAGAAGUCAGCCAGAGUUGGUAGCAAGAUUGACGUGGGCCAUCAUUCAAAGAAAGGGUUGCCUGCCUGGCAAACCAGUGCAUAUUUCCAAACUAUGUAUGUUUGCAUUAACUUAUUUAUUUUUGUUUGGGUAUGAAUGUAAUGAUAAUAAAAUCUCAAAAUGACGCUUA